GACGAACGCUGGCGGCGUGCCUAAUACAUGCAAGUCGAGCGAAUCUUUUGGGAGCUUGCUCCCUUAAGAUUAGCGGCGGACGGGUGAGUAACACGUGGGUAACCUGCCUGUAAGACUGGGAUAACUUCGAGAAACCGGAGCUAAUACCGGAUAGGUUCUUUUCUCGCAUGAGGGAAGAUGGAAAGAUGGUUCUGCUUUCACUUACAGAUGGACCCGCGGCGCAUUAGCUAGUUGGUGAGGUAACGGCUCACCAAGGCGACGAUGCGUAGCCGACCUGAGAGGGUGAUCGGCCACACUGGGACUGAGACGCGGCCCAGACUCCUACGGGAGGCAGCAGUAGGGAAUCUUCCGCAAUGGACGAAAGUCUGACGGAGCAACGCCGCGUGAGCGAAGAAGGCCUUCGGGUCGUAAAGCUCUGUUGUUAGGGAAGAACAAGUACGAGAGUAACUGCUCGUACCUUGACGGUACCUAACCAGAAAGCCACGGCUAACUACGUGCCAGCCGCCGCGGUAAAAC
rnacentral:rRNA from 1 species